rnacentral:rRNA from 1 species
AUGGAGGUUACCGUGCACUCGUCAAAGCCCGUCAAGCCUGACUACGGUGACGGUGCUGACGGUCCUUUCUCCUACUUCGUCCCUCUCAGCGUAUUUGACAAGGUGAGCUACGACGAGUAUGUCACCGGCCUAUGCGCCUUCCACCCGCCUGUGCCGGCCAAUGACAUCCUCGAGGCGGGGCUCGCCAAGGCGCUGACCGAGUACCGCGAGUGGGCCGGGCGGCUCGGCGCAGACGCCGGUGGCAACCGUGCCAUCGUGCUCAACGACGCCGGUGCAUGGUGCGGCUCCAUCAUCAUUGGCGUCAGCAUGCAUCACAAGGUGGCCGAUGGGCACGCCAUCUGGACUUUCUUGUUCGCAUGGGGCCAGGCCACCCGCGGUGUCGCCAUCAGCCCCGUCCCGGUGCACGAUCGGACGUCGCUAUUCACGCCGCGGAUCGAGUUCGACCACCGCGGCAACGAGUUCAAGUCUCACGGCGACAACUCGGGUGGCACCCACGCCGGCGAUGAGACACUCAUACACAGGGUGCACUUCAGCCGGGAGCGGAUCAUUCAAUAG